UCCAAGAACUCAUCUCCAGGUUUACGACUCUCUUCCUACGGCCCAUAGGAAUUUCUAUGUUCCAUAGGUUGGACUCGUAGAACUUGCUUCAACCACCUUUCUAUAUUUUCUUUUAUGUUUGACUUUACAGCUUUUGUUACAUUACCGGUUUUACCAUAUCAUAAAAUAUUGAAAUUAAACUUCAAAAUACCGAAUCGUACCAAAAUAAAUUAAAUUGAUAUGAUAAUUGUAUAAAUAUUGUAAAAAUCAAAUAUUGAAGUUACAAUAUCAAAUUCAGAUAUGUAUUGUAUCGUAUCGUGUCCAUCCCUACUUAGAAGAUGAACCGACUCUCUUUGAUUAAGUCACUUUACCCAAACUCUCUUUCAUUAACAUUGAUCUUAGUCAAUCCCAUUGAGCCUUAACUGAAUUCCUUGGUCACCCUAUUUGACACCUUGACCUUUUUGAGUCCUUUCUUUUGGCACCCUUACCUCCUUUAUAACAAGCGAUGAAAUUGUAAGCAAAAAUUAUAAAUUUAGAUGGAAUACAAGAAUAAAGAAGUGAUGUUGGCAAAAGCCUAAGUUUGGUAAAAAAAAAAAAGGCUUUUACGACUAUUUAUGGCCUAAAUCAAGCCGUACAAAGUGAUCAAAUGUUCCAAAAUCAUUUUAAUUUUACAACUACCCUUUUGGUGAGUGAUUCCACCCUAUAUUUUCAACUAGUUCAAUGUGGACAAGAUUAAGGGUGAUUUAGUUCUGUACACUUCUUAGAAGCUUGCUUUAGUUUACCCUCUUUCCCAGGAAAAGUAAUUUCUAACUUCUAAACGGGGAUGGAAAUCAUGGAAUUAAAUCUUGAGUCAAAUAUUUUUGACCAUGCUCUUCCAUCUUAGAGACACAAAGUGAUAAUGGAUAGCAUGUUUAGGCCAACUGGUAGAAAAUUUGGGUGUUGAAUAUUGUAGCUAUUGUGUGAUAUGUACGUGUUGUUAAUUGUAUAAAUUAACCAUGAAGGAGUUGCUUGGAAAUUAUGAACAUGAUUUUUUAAAGUUAGUUACAUUUUGAGAUAUAUUACGACGAUACUCCUCGUUUGGUAGAGUUAUUAGGAAAAACAAUGUAUGCAUUAGUCUUGCGUAUAUUAGUACCUUAUUUGGUAUUUUUUUUUCUAAUCUAUAUAUAAUUAAUACUUGUAUUAGUUAUACAUUUUAUUAUGUGUUAAAAUGUAUAUUGUUAGCAAUGGUUUUAAUGCAUGUCUUAGCAUGAUUAAAGGCUUAAUUGCUCUUCAAAACUCUUUUUACAUCUUUUCCACCAUAACAGUAGAGGGUACCUUUGUAAAUAACUUUUAUUAUGCAAUACAUGUUAUUUUUAAUGCAUCAAAUCAAAUGGUGCAUAAAACUAAAAAUAAUCGAGUUAUAAUUAAUGCAAGUAUAAUUAAUACAUAUAUGACUAUAAUACACUUUCUAUUUAACACUAUUCUUAUACACUAUCAAUCGACCCCUUAAGAUGUACAAUAAUAUUGAUGAAUAGAGUAUAUUUAAUAAUAAUUGCAUUAAUUAUGCUCCAAUUAUUUUUUAUGCAAUGAUUUGUUUUGCAGUAUUUAAAAUAAAAUGGUUUGCAUGACUUCGAUAAAAAGCAGUACCUGUUUACAAAAAAGUUUCCUCACUCUUUAGUUUUGAAAAACAGAAAAUGUAUUGAUUGAAAUUUGAGGGGUAGUUAUAUCAUUGAUCAUUCUAAUGCACGUGUAGAAAUUUUUUGUAUGAUUAAUUUAAAAAAUUUAUAAUACACCAAGCUAACACAUGGAGCUAUCUUAUCAGAGCAACUUACAUGUGGUGUUACUGUAUCAAUCUAUGUUCUAGUAAUAAUACUAUCUUCACUCUAUUUUUAUCAUACUUAUCAUUUUCUAUAACACUCUCUAUUUUUCAUAUUUAGAGAGUUAGAACAAUAGUUUUCCAAAUUUGGAAAUUACUGUUCACAUCCUCUAUUCACUUUUUUAAUAUUUUACUAUUAUUUAUAAUAUUUUUUAAUUAACAUAUUAUUUUAUAUAUAAUAUCACUAAUUAAAUAUUUAAUAUUCAUAAUGUUUUUAAAAUGUAAUAUAAUAUUUUUAAAAAAAAUUAUUUCAUAUAUACUAUUUUCAUUCCAAAUUAAAAAAAAUUAAUUUUUUUUUCUAGAAAAUGUAAUUUGAUUUUAUUAUUAAAUUUCAUUAUAAUGGGUAUACAAAAGUAAAAAGGAUAAAGAUGAAAAUUUUAAUUUAAAAUUACAAUACAUAGCAUCACAAUUUGAAUAUAAGAUAACAAUAUAAUACAUAACAUAAUAAUUUGAAUACAAUAUAAAUAAUAUAAUACAUAACAUAAUUAUCACAAGAAUAAUUUAGUGAUUCAAUAGAUUGUUUUCAGAUUUAGCAUUAUUCAGAAAAAAGUUAGAAUAUGAUUCAGAGAAUUGUUGCGAUUAUGAUUGUGAUUGUCAAUUUAUUUUUCAAUUAUUUAUUAUUUUUCUUGUUGCAUGUAAUCCAUGCCACAAUAAAAUUGGGAUGAAAUUAGGGUAUGAUCCAGAGAAUUGUUGUCGAUUAUGGUUAUAUUAUUUAGAAAUUUAAGUAAAACAUAAUUUUAUAUUUUAAAAAAUUAAAAAUAAUAUUUUUAGCACUUAAAAGUUAUAUAAAGAAUAUUUUUUAAAAAGAAACAAAAAAUUUAUAUUAUGAAAUAAAAAAUAGACAUGAAAUAGAAAUAAUAUUCCCUCCAAAUUAAUUGAAUUGCUACGCCAUUUUUUAUUUUACAAAUUAACUUAAUUGUUUAAUUUUCAAGACUAUUUUUAGAAUGUCAUUCCAAUUUUACGCUUCAUUAAUUUAUAUUGGAAGUCGUUAUUAAUUAAUGUUUAGUCAUGUUAACCAUGAAUUUGACAAUAAUUAAUAAAGGUAUAUAUGAAAAGUUAUGUCUGUUUUAUGUCUUAAUCUUAUUUUCUAGAUAGUCACCCAUGUUUGGAAAAUUAACUAAGAAUGUCAUUUAUGUUUGUUUUAGGACUACAAUAUGACCCAUAUUUACCUAUUUUGCUCAAAUUAUACUUGACACAAGAAAUACAUUAUCUCUCUCUUAUUAGGAUGCCACGUCACAUUAUUUAUUUAUUUAUUAUUAAAAUAUAUGCUUUAAACCUAUUUAAACAUUAGGUUGCAAUAUGUUUUCUUUUCAAAAUAUUGUUUUCUAUCUAUGUUAAGUUGAAAAUGUUUUGUUUUUUAGAUAUAUAAAGAUAAAUUUUUAAAAUGAAUAAAAAAAAGUACUUUAUUUCUACAACUAACUACUAGUGGACUGUUUUAACUAUUUUUUAAUUUUUUAAAAAAUAAUUAUUUCUCUCCUAUUAGGGUGUCAUGUCACAUUUUUAAAUUUAUUAUUAAUAUUUUUCUAAUUCUUUUAAAGAACCGGAGGAGCCCACAUACUUUCUUGGAGAACCGGAGGAGCUCAUACUACAGUUCAUAAUAUAAUUUUUUUAUUGGGUAUAAUAUGUGAGUUUGUCUAUUUUUUUUUAAAGAAAUUUAUCUAUAUAGAAUAGGAGAAGUAAAAAGUAUCAUAAAUAUUCAAGAAUUUUAAUUUUUCAAGAAGCAUUUUAAAUAUGCUCUAAAAAUACAAUUAAAAAACAUGAAUUUUAAUAUAGCUAUUUUAAAUUUAAAAAAAAAAACUGUAACGGCAAAAAAUGGAUGAUUUUUAGAUGCCUCUAAUUUCAAUUUUAAAGGAAAAAAAUGAAAUUGAACUAUUUUUUUUUAUAAAAAACAGUAAUGACUAUUAUGGGGAAAAAAUGAAAGAUCUUUAAAUGCUUCAAAUUUCAAUUUGUAAGGUUAAAAAAUGAAAAAUAAAAAUUGAAUUAUUUUACAGAAAAAAACUGUAGUGUCUAUUUAUAUUUAUCACACUUUCAGUGAUUUUAGAAAAUGCUCUAACAAAAUGGAAUAUAGAAAUAUCUAUUUAAAUAGGAGAAGACAAAGUGCACCGUAAAACAACUAUAACAAUUAUUUAAAAAAUUAAUUAAAAAACUUAUAGUAAAAUAUAAUAAUUAUCAUUAAAAAAAAUUAAAAGAAACUUAUUUUUAAAAAUAGUUAAAACAAUGUUUGUUGUAGAAAUAUGGUACUUUUUUCAUUCAUUUUUUAAAAUUUAUCUUUAUAUAUCUAAAAAAAUAAAACAUUUCCACAAAACAUAAAUUUAAAAAAUAAUAUUUAAAAAAGAAAACAUAUUGCAACCUAAAGUUUAAAUAGGUUUAAAGCAUACUUUUUUUAAUAAUAAAUAAAUAAAUAACGUGACAUUGCAUCCUAAUAAGAGAGAGAUAAUAUAUUUUUAUGUCAAGUAUAAUUUGAGGAAAAUAGGCAAAGUUGAAUGAUAUUGUAGUCCUAAAACAAACAUAAGUGAUAUUCCUAGGUAAUUUUCCAAACAUGGGUGACUAUCUAGGGAAAUUACUCUAAUCUUCUUUACUUAAAGAGUGUGAAACACUUUAACAAUUCAAUUAAUUUGAAAAUAUAGGGAGUAAUAUAAAAUGUAUAAAUUAUAGGAAUCAUAUAGUUUAAGAUAAAAGUACAUCCUAUCCCUAUUAGUUUUCAUUUACAGAAAUCCCUUAAAAUAAGAGGGAUAUAGAUACAUAAGUGGUUGCCAGAUACAUAAUUUCUGAUACAUUCAAUGGUGUUGUUACGCUUAAAAAGAAUAAAAUAACUUAAAUUUUAUUUUAAUUAAUUUCAAUCCCAUAACUCACGCCUGACAUGUUGUAAAUAAUGCAUGUAAUACCUAGCAGAUUCACAAAUUUGAAAUUUUACAAUCACAACUUCUCCAUCAAGGAACCAUUACUAUCUUAAAAACUUCUAAAUUCAAAUAACUAGAAAAAAUCAUUGUAGAAGAUGAAUAUAUUGAUUUUGUUGAUGUUGGGUGUGCGAUGUGAUUGUCGCGCCCCAUUUUUUCGUAAAAAUGGGUUUUGUGCACGAUAUAACAACUCUUUUGGGAUUUUGAGUUUAAAGGAGUCGUCACCUAACGAAUUAAGGCGCGUUAGGGCACCUAUCUAACCUUACUAAGUCUAGCUAAGGUCAACGAGUCAGAGAUCAGGGUAAGAGUUUAAAUUACCUCGAGGGGAAGGUGUUAAGCAUCCCUCGAGGUCCACAAAUGUGGGUCCCGACCGUAUCUCAUGCAAUUUAUGUGGGGGUUACAAGUAGCAAAUAAGGUCACUUCAUUUAUUAGUUUAUUUGAGCUUGCUAAGUGAUGACAUAAUAUUAAGCAAUUAAUUUUUUUUAUUUUAGUUAAUUUAAACAUGUGAGAUUAGGUGAUAGAAAUAAAUAAACAAUUAAACUCUUUUUUUUUUAUUUAAUUUAGCAUACGAGACUAUAUGAUAUAACAAGUCAAACAAAUAGCUCAUAUUAUUAUUUUAAUUGAUUUUUAAGCAUGCUAAAAGGCGAUGGAAACAAUAAACACAACAAAUAUUAAUCAAUUACAUAAAGAUAAGCGAGGAGACAAAUAGACAAAUAGAUAAGCCAAUAAAUUUGUUAUAUUUUUUUUUAUUUUAAGCUACCCCAAUAAAUUACUAAACAAUUAAGAAUACUUCAAUUAUUUAUUAUUUGAGCAUACGAUCUAGGUGAUUAAAAAUAUUGACCAAAUAUUAAGCAAUUAAUAAUGAGAUAACAAGAAGACAUAAUAUGUACAAAUAAAAAUAAUUCAAUUUAAUUUAUUAUGCCGCACCAAACAAGACUAAGAUGUGCGAAUUUUUUUUUUGAAAUUCCUUUGAGAAUCACAUAAUACCUAUAGGCAUGAUUUCUAACUUGACAAUUACGGUAAACAAGUAGCAUGUAAAUUCUCUCCCCUUAGGUGAUCUCCCCAAAAUAUUUUAUUUUAUAUAUAGAGAGUUAAAGAGUUGUACAAACAUUAAAAGUAAAAAUAAAUAGUGAAUAAACAUAUAUAUAAUAAAAUGAACGAGGCUUCGUCCACAAUUUCUUCUAGGCAAAUCUUCAACAUCUUGAACUCUAAGUUCAAAACUUGGAAGAAGAGGUAAUGUAACACAUAUACGAUGAGGAAAUAGGUGUAAACAGAAUGCUCAUAGUAACAAAUUACUCUCAUAUAUAUGUAAAUAAUACAUAAGAAGGGAUACAGAAUAACCAUAGUUAUCUUAUCAAACGUAAAAGGAUAAUGAAACUAACUUGGAUGCUUCCUUGUUGUUUCGUUUUUCAACAACUAAAUAUUAUAAUUAUGAAAAAAAUCAAAUUAAAAUUAAUAAAGAGGACUAACCAAUUAUAUAGAAAAGAUUAUCAAUUUGUAUUAGAAGAAUGAGUGAUGAGUUGAGAGGAUGAAUAUGUGUAUGAGCAAUGAGAAAAUGAGAGAAAUUGUAGCAAGAGUUAGUAUCUCAAUGAAUGAGAGAAGGGUCUACUUAUAUAGCAAAAAGGGGUGCAUUUAAUAAAGAAAAAUAAAUAAAUUAAGGAAUCAAUUAUUGUACCAUUUUCCUUAUUUUAGAGGAGGAUCAAUCAGAAAAUUCUAAUAAUAUUUCAUUACCACAAAUAAACUUGUAAUAAUAAAAGUUAGGAAAAAAAUAAUAUUUUUUUCUUAAAUAAAGAAGAACUAAAAUAAAAUUAUUAUCAUGCUACCAAAUAUAAACAAAUAAGAAUAAAUUAAGAAGAACACAAUUAUUUUUUCCUUAACUAAUGAAGAGCCAAAAUUGAUUUUUUUUUUAAAAAAAAAAUAUUAUUAUUCUACCAUAUACAUGAGCAACUAAAUAUUACAAGGAAAUAAUUUAAGGUCAAACAUUUACCUAAUUACAAUAAAUAAAUAUGUAAGAAUCAAUCUAGACAAACGUUGAAGGAAAAGGAGAUCGAUUAAUAUUUUUAAUUCAUUUUAAGAGAGAGCUAAAUUAUAAAAUCAAUAUUUUCAGAAUGUGUAAAUAUCUUCCCAAAAAUAAGUAAGUAAGAAACCUUUUUUUUUAAUCACAUGAACAAAGAUUUAAUCUAUAAUUUUAGCAAAUUAAUUUGAAUAUUUUUUUAAUCACACAUAAGCAUGUCACAUAAGUCAACCAAGGAUAGCCAUAAAUAAUAGUAUACUAACAAUAUUAUUUAUAUAUUUAACACAGAAUCAAAUACGAAAAAAUACUUUGUAAUCAUAUCAAUCCAUUAUCAAGUAAUCUACACUAUACUUAAGCAAGCUAGAUUCAAAACGAACGCAAAGAUUAAAUUUAAAAAUUCAUGGACCAAUUUUAAAUCAACACAAUAAGUUAAUUGCUAAUCAGUUAACACAGAAGCAACAUCACUCGAUCAUCCACACCAAAAUUCAUUUAAGACUUAUUGAGAGACAAAACUAACUAGCAUAUGAUAUACACAAGCUUCGAAAUUUUUUGAAAAAUCAACAAGAACAGUCCAUAAGAUCAAGAAACUCACAAUUUAUUUUCGCUCAUCGAUAACAUUCAUAACAUUAGGCAAAUUACAUUUAUGAUUUAAAAGAGAAACUAACCCGGACAAAUCUAUCAUAGAUCCGUCUUAAAACUUCAAAGACGCUUGAUGGAGUUCGCUGACCGGAGUUGUUGCUUUCGGCGGUUGCUGCUGCCUCCAAAAGAAGAGAGAAGAGGAGGGAGACGAGAAGAGGGGCGAGAGGGAGAAGAUAGGGGGCGGGAGACGGAGAGGGGAAGAGGGGCGGCUGCCACCACUUGGAGGUGGUGAUUAACCACCGGAAAGAAUGGAGGGAGAGAGAGGCGGCUGGAGAUAUGGGUGAGGGAGGAAUAAAAUA
rnacentral:lncRNA from 1 species